rnacentral:ncRNA from 1 species
UGAAAUGCAAUGAUAAGGAAUAGUACAUGCAAACCGGAGCGCAGAGAGCUGUCGGCUGGUGUAAGGCAGCAGAAGGAAUCCAUGGAACUCGCCUUUGAGCAUCUGUCCGAAAUCCGAUAAGGAGAGUAGACACAGACGGUAUCCACCGUUAUAUGGAGAGGAUAUAAGGAUCCAAUGAUCCCGUAUCCCUUGAGUGUAUGAAACCGUUCAUAAAUAAGAGUGGUACCGCGAAAGUUACUGUCUUUCGUCUCUUAC